rnacentral:SRP_RNA from 1 species
CUAUGUUGCCCAGGCUGGAGUGCAGUGGCUAUUCACAGGCGCAAUCCCACUACUGAUCAGCACGGGAGUUUUGACCUGCUCCGUUUCCGACCUGGGCCGGUUCACCCCUCCUUAGGCAACCUGGUGGUCCCCCGCUCCCGGGAGGUCACCAUAUUGAUGCCGAACUUAGUGCGGACACCCGAUCGGCAUAGCGCACUACAGCCCAGAACUCCUGGGCUCAAGCGAUCCUCCCACCUCAGCCUCCCGAGUAGCUGGGACUACAGGCACGCGCCACCGC